AGCUUUGCGCAGUGACAUUACCGUAGCCGUUGAGGUCCAUCCGAGGCGCGGUUAUUGCUGAUUGAAAACUUUUCCCAAUACCCCGCGAGACGACUUGAAACAUAGUCGGCUUUGCAAUUUUUGUGGGCCCUGCUUAGGG
rfam:Nematostella vectensis strain CH2 x CH6 NEMVEscaffold_159_Cont16288, whole genome shotgun sequence.